rnacentral:piRNA from 1 species
GACAUUAGGUACACAGUCACAGAAGA